UACGAAGGGGGCUAGCGUUGCUCGGAAUCACUGGGCGUAAAGGGCGCGUAGGCGGCGUUUUAAGUCGGGGGUGAAAGCCUGUGGCUCAACCACAGAAUGGCCUUCGAUACUGGGACGCUUGAGUAUGGUAGAGGUUGGUGGAACUGCGAGUGUAGAGGUGAAAUUCGUAGAUAUUCGCAAGAACACCGGUGGCGAAGGCGGCCAACUGGACCAUUACUGACGCUGAGGCGCGAAAGCGUGGGGAG
rnacentral:rRNA from 2 species